rnacentral:rRNA from 1 species
GACGAACGCUGGCGGCGUGCUUAACACAUGCAAGUCGAACGGACGGACUCGAUAGCUUGCUAUUGGGAAAGUUAGUGGCAAACGGGUGAGUAACGCGUAGGCAACCUGCCCUUCAGAUGGGGACAACACUUCGAAAGAGGUGCUAAUACCGAAUGACGUAUCCAUUCCGCAUGGAGAGGAUACCAAAGGCCGGGCAACCGGUCACUGAAGGAUGGGCCUGCGUCUGAUUAGCUAGUUGGUGGGGUAACGGCUCACCAAGGCGACGAUCAGUAGCCGGUCUGAGAGGAUGAACGGCCACAUUGGGACUGAGACACGGCCCAA